ACAACAUUCGGACCGUCGCUCUACCGAGCAAUAUCACCCGUUCGGUGGAAGAUCUUCCCUCCGUCGU
rnacentral:pre_miRNA from 1 species